rnacentral:rRNA from 1 species
CCGUAAACGAUGUCGAUUUGGAGGUUGUGCCCUUGAGGCGUGGCUUCCGGAGCUAACGCGUUAAAUCGACCGCCUGGGGAGUACGGCCGCAAGGUUAAAACUCAAAUGAAUUGACGGGGGCCCGCACAAGCGGUGGAGCAUGUGGUUUAAUUCGAUGCAACGCGAAGAACCUUACCUGGUCUUGACAUCCACAGAACUUUGCAGAGAUGCUUUGGUGCCUUCGGGAACUGUGAGACAGGUGCUGCAUGGCUGUCGUCAGCUCGUGUUGUGAAAUGUUGGGUUAAGUCCCGCAACGAGCGCAACCCUUAUCCUUUGUUGCCAGCGGUUAGGCCGGGAACUCAAAGGAGACUGCCAGUGAUAAACUGGAGGAAG